rnacentral:lncRNA from 1 species
AUGCAGAUACGGAAACCGAGGUUUUCUUACUUCCUGCCGCUGGCCUGGGCACUGGAAGUUGACUCCAGGAGGGCAGGGUGUCUGUUUUUAUUACCACUCAGCAAGUGUCACAAAUACACACGGGUGUGUCUGCCCUAUAGUGGAUCCUGGCAGGCACUGUUCUUAUUACCACUCAGCAAAGUGUCACACAAAUACAUACGGGUGUGUGUGCCCUCUAGUGGAUGCUGGCAGGCACUGUUCUUAUUACCACUCAGCAAGUGCCACACAAAUACACAGGGGUGUGUCUGCCCUCUAGUGGAUGCUGGCAGGAACUGGGAGCAAAUGUGACCAUAAAAAAAUGAACGAUUUAAAAAACACCCAUUAUCUCCAGAGGGGAUUUAACUCUAACAAGAGGCUUUUUUUUUUCUUUUUUCAAAUGGACUGAUGGGUAAAAAUAAUAACUUCAUGAACCAAAAACAAAGUAAUAUACUUUAGAAAGGAAGCAGGCUAGAAAACCCACAGUUGCAAAGCGAAUAAAAUUUCCAAUUGCCUCUUUGAGUCCCUUCCUGGAAGUAGUCACAGCCGACUUCCUCCUCUGUUUUUUGUUUGUUUGUUAUUUGCUUUUCUGUGGGGUUUUUGUUGUUGUUUGCUUUUUUUUUUUAAAAAAAAAAAAAUCCCUUUCCGUGCUUUUUUGUCACAGAAGCCUUUGUCACUUCAAACACUGCAAGUGUUCUUUUAAAAAAAUUAUAUCAACCUUUCAAUUAAAAUGCAACAUGUCUGCAACCUGGUAUCUAGAGAGGUGAGACGGACAAAGGAGCCCUUGUUACUGUAUGUUUUCUUGCCCCAGCCUUCACCUUGCACACAGCAACAGACAAUGCACAAAGCCACUUCCUUAUGGACUGAAAUUCUGAUCCUUUUAUGACUGGCCUUUCCAUCCUUCACCUUCCCCUCUCCCACUCUGUGAAUGAUUGUAUUGGACAUUUUUGUUUUAAUCUCAGUGACAGGGGAACACAGGUAGCUCUAAUAUAACUGUGACCCAGAUGCUUCUGUUUCUAGCAUGUAUUUAUUUUGUAGCAAACAUUUACAUGCAUCAUUUUUCACUGUCUUUUGAAAAUAAUUAGGCAAUAUCUCAUCUGAGGUAGAAUGUUUCUAGUGGUUGUGUUCUGAGGGAAAAAAACUAAUCUGUUCUCUUUCCACUGCAUUCCAGGAACAGUAAGAGGACCUUUUGCUUGAAUAAUUUUUAUCCACACUACAGAGUGGGUAAUGAGCAGAUUAUGUAAAAACAAUUCAGCUUCACUUCAGUAACAGCCUCCUCAACUCAUUUUUUCUCAACAAACUUAUUUUUCCAGCAGAAGAAUCCCAGGCUUCUUAGAGA